rnacentral:SRP_RNA from 5 species
AAAGGCUAGGACAAUGGCGGGCUAGUGAAUUGUGUCAGAUCCGGAAGGAAGCAGCACUAAGCAAGUGCCGCCAUGUGUCUGAAUUAUAGUUGAUAUC